rnacentral:rRNA from 1 species
UGGUUGAUCUGCCAGAGGCUACUGCUAUCGGGGUCCGACUAAGCCAUGCGAGUUGAGAGGGGUAAGCCCUCGGCAUAUUGCUCAGUAACACGCGGAUAACCUGCCCUUGGGUUCGGGAUAACCCCGGGAAAACUGGGACUAAUACCGGAUAGAUCAAAGAAACUGGAAUGUUCUCUGGUUAAAAACUCCGGUGCCCAAGGAUGGGUCUGCGGCCUAUCAGGUAGUAGUGGGUGUAACGUACCUACUAGCCUACGACGGGUAAGGGUUGUGAGAGCAAGAGCCCUGAGAUGGAUUCUGAGACAUGAAUCCAGGCCCUACGGGGUGCAGCAGGCGCGAAAACUUUACACUGCGGGAAACCGCGAUAAGGGGACCCCGAGUGCCAGCACCUAGUGCUGGCUGUCCAGCUGUCCAAAUAACAGUUGUUAGCAAGGGCCGGGCAAGACCGGUGCCAGCCGCCGCGGUAACACCGGCGGCCCGAGUGGUAGCCGUUAUUAUUGGGUUUAAAGGGUCCGUAGCCGGCCUAUUAAGUCUCUUGGGAAAUCUGGCGACUCAAUCGUCAGUCGUCCAAGAGAUACUGGUAGGCUUGGGACCGGGAGAGGUGGGAGGUACUCCAGGGGUAGGGGUGAAAUCUCGUAAUCCUUGGGGGACCACCGAUGGCGAAGGCAUCCCACCAGAACGGGUCCGACGGUGAGGGACGAAAGCUGGGGGCACGAACCGGAUUAGAUACCCGGGUAGUCCCAGCCGUAAACGAUGCUCGCUAGGUGUCAGGUGCGGUGCGACCGCAUCUGGUGCCGCAGUGAAAACUUGAAGCGAGUCACCUGGGAAGUACGGUCGCAAGGCUGAAACUUAAAGGAAUUGGCGGGGGAGCAC